AGCCGCGGUAAGACGGGAGGGGCAAGCGUUACCCGGAUUUAUUGGGUGUAAAGGGUCCGUAGGUGGUCAGGUAUGUCCAUUUUGAAAGCCUCUGGCUCAACCAGAGAGGUGGAGUGGAAACUGCCUGACUUGAGGCCAGGCGAGGAAAGCGGAACUGCCGGUGUAGCGGUGGAAUGCGUAGAUAUCGGCGGGAACACCAUUGGCGAAGGCGGCUUUCUAUCCUGGUUCUGACACUGAGGGACGAAAGCGUGGGGAGCAAUCGGGUUUAGAUACCCCGGUAGUCCACGCUGUAAACGAUGGGUGCUGGGUGUUGGUCCGGUUUCCGGAUUGGCGCCGAAGCUAACGCGUUAAGCACCCCACCUGGGGACUACGGUCGCAAGGCUGAAACCCAAAGGAAUUGACGGGGGCCCGCACAACCAGUGGAGCAUGUGGUUUAAUUCGAUGAUACGCGAGGAACCUUACCUAGGCUUGACAUACCGAUAGUACUGCCCCGAAAGGGAAGGGAUCCGUAGCAAUACGGAAGUCGGUACAGGAGGUGCAUGGCC
rnacentral:rRNA from 1 species